UGCGUAGGCGGUUCUGCAUGUCGGAUGUGAAAUCUCACUGCUCAACGGUGGAACGGCAUUCGAAACUGCAGUGCUGGAGUACAGGAGAGGAGAGCGGAAUUCCUGGUGUAGCGGUGAAAUGCGUAGAUAUCAGGAGGAACACCGGUGGCGAAGGCGGCUCUCUGGACUGAUACUGACGCUGAGGCACGAAAGCUGGGGGAGCAAACA
rnacentral:rRNA from 1 species